GAGCACAGUGGUAGAACAUAUGUUUUGCAUGCAAAAGGUCCUAGGUUCAAUCCCUGGCAUCUUCA